UACGAAGGGGGCGAGCGUUGUUCGGAUUUACUGGGCGUAAAGGGCGCGCAGGCGGCGCAUCAAGUCAGGCGUGAAAGCCCCGGGCUUAACCUGGGAACUGCGUCUGGGACUGGUGGGCUAGAGAUCGGGAGAGGAGAGUGGAAUUCCCAGUGUAGAGGUGAAAUUCGUAGAUAUUCGGAAGAACACCAGUGGCGAAGGCGACUCACUGGACACGUAUUGACGCUGAGGUGCGAAAGCGUGGGGAGCAAACAGG
rnacentral:rRNA from 1 species